CUGGUGGUGGUUCAGUGGUAGAAUUCUUGCCUUCCAUGCAGGAGACCCGGGUUCAGUUCCAGCCAAUAUA
rnacentral:tRNA from 1 species